UGGGUGUUCAUUUCCAUUUCUGGUUUCGAUCUGUGGGUUUAUUUCGACUUGGUUGAGUGUUUUGGAUCACUUGCUCCUUUAUCUGGGUUGCUGUGGUUUUUCUGUUGAUUGUAGCUGUGUUGUAACUGUUGGAUAUCAACUUUUAUUUGCUGAUUCACUCAUUUUCCUUGUUUAUUGCUGCUUCCAGGUACAUAUACGAACUAGGCUUGAUAUAUCUUUGAAGUGGUAUGAAAUAAAAACAUUUGAUCUCUGAACUGUGUUUGUCCAGAUUAUUACAUGUUGACUAGAUGGUUGGAUGUAAUAUGUCUAAGUAUAGUUUGAAUUUAACUCCUAUGCACAUGAUUUUGGGCUGUAUAAUUUGAUCUAACUGGACAGUAGUAUGAUGUUAACAUGGGACUCUGUAGAUUUUUAACUAGAAAGUCAAAC
rnacentral:lncRNA from 1 species